rnacentral:rRNA from 1 species
CCUUUUAAUUGGAGGCCUGCAUGAAUGGCUUGACGAGCGCCCUGCUGUCUCUCUUCCCAUGAACUUUUAAAUUAACUUUCGCGUGCAAAGGCGCGAAUGGCUGAGUUAGACGAAAAGACCCUAUGCAUCUUUACUGAGAGAGAAGAAAGUUCUUUAGCUUGGUUUAGCUGGGGCAGCUGAGGAAAAGGCAAAAUUUCCUUAAUAUAAAUCAUACUGGUGGGUUUAGAUCCAGGCUCUUUAGCGGGCUUGACAAGUAGAAAAGUUACGCUAGGGAUAACAGCGUUAUCCUUCUGUGGAGGUCUUAUCUGCAGGAGGGAUUGCGACCUCGAUGUUGAAUUAGGGAUAUACCAGAAAGGCGCAGAAGCUUUUAUUGUGGGUCUGU